UGGGGAAUAUUGCACAAUGGGCGCAAGCCUGAUGCAGCCAUGCCGCGUGUAUGAAGAAGGCCUUCGGGUUGUAAAGUACUUUCAGCGGGGAGGAAGGCGAUAAGGUUAAUAACCUUGUCGAUUGACGUUACCCGCAGAAGAAGCACCGGCUAACUCCGUGCCAGCAGCCGCGGUAAUACGGAGGGUGCAAGCGUUAAUCGGAAUUACUGGGCGUAAAGCGCACGCAGGCGGUCUGUCAAGUCGGAUGUGAAAUCCCCGGGCUCAACCUGGGAACUGCAUUCGAAACUGGCAGGCUAGAGUCUUGUAGAGGGGGGUAGGAUUCCAGGUGUAGCGGUGAAAUGCGUAGAGAUCUGGAGGAAUACCGGUGGCGAAGGCGGCCCCCUGGACAAAGACUGACGCUCAGGUGCGAAAGCGUGGGGAGCAAACA
rnacentral:rRNA from 1 species